AGAGUUUGAUCAUGGCUCAGAUUGAACGCUGGCGGCAGGCCUAACACAUGCAAGUCGAACGGUAACAGGAAGAAGCUUGCUUCUUUGCUGACGAGUGGCGGACGGGUGAGUAAUGUCUGGGAAACUGCCUGAUGGAGGGGGAUAACUACUGGAAACGGUAGCUAAUACCGCAUAACGUCGCAAGACCAAAGAGGGGGACCUUCGGGCCUCUUGCCAUCGGAUGUGCCCAGAUGGGAUUAGCUAGUAGGUGGGGUAACGGCUCACCUAGGCGACGAUCCCUAGCUGGUCUGAGAGGAUGACCAGCCACACUGGAACUGAGACACGGUCCAGACUCCUACGGGAGGCAGCAGUGGGGAAUAUUGCACAAUGGGCGCAAGCCUGAUGCAGCCAUGCCGCGUGUAUGAAGAAGGCCUUCGGGUUGUAAAGUACUUUCAGCGGGGAGGAAGGGAGUAAAGUUAAUACCUUUGCUCAUUGACGUUACCCGCAGAAGAAGCACCGGCUAACUCCGUGCCAGCAGCCGCGGUAAUACGGAGGGUGCAAGCGUUAAUCGGAAUUACUGGGCGUAAAGCGCACGCAGGCGGUUUGUUAAGUCAGAUGUGAAAUCCCCGGGCUCAACCUGGGAACUGCAUCUGAUACUGGCAAGCUUGAGUCUCGUAGAGGGGGGUAGAAUUCCAGGUGUAGCGGUGAAAUGCGUAGAGAUCUGGAGGAAUACCGGUGGCGAAGGCGGCCCCCUGGACGAAGACUGACGCUCAGGUGCGAAAGCGUGGGGAGCAAACAGGAUUAGAUACCCUGGUAGUCCACGCCGUAAACGAUGUCGACUUGGAGGUUGUGCCCUUGAGGCGUGGCUUCCGGAGCUAACGCGUUAAGUCGACCGCCUGGGGAGUACGGCCGCAAGGUUAAAACUCAAAUGAAUUGACGGGGGCCCGCACAAGCGGUGGAGCAUGUGGUUUAAUUCGAUGCAACGCGAAGAACCUUACCUGGUCUUGACAUCCACAGAACUUUCCAGAGAUGGAUUGGUGCCUUCGGGAACUGUGAGACAGGUGCUGCAUGGCUGUCGUCAGCUCGUGUUGUGAAAUGUUGGGUUAAGUCCCGCAACGAGCGCAACCCUUAUCCUUUGUUGCCAGCGGUCCGGCCGGGAACUCAAAGGAGACUGCC
rnacentral:rRNA from 1 species